AUUGAACGCUGGCGGCAGGCCUAACACAUGCAAGUUGAACGAGACCUUCGGGUCUAGUGGCGCACGGGUGCGUAACGCGUGGGAAUCUGCCCUUGGGUUCGGAAUAACAGUUAGAAAUGACUGCUAAUACCGGAUGAUGACGUAAGUCCAAAGAUUUAUCGCCCAAGGAUGAGCCCGCGUAGGAUUAGCUUGUUGGUGAGGUAAAAGCUCACCAAGGCGACGAUCCUUAGCUGGUCUGAGAGGAUGAUCAGCCACACUGGGACUGAGACACGGCCCAGACUCCUACGGGAGGCAGCAGUGGGGAAUAUUGGACAAUGGGCGAAAGCCUGAUCCAGCAAUGCCGCGUGAGUGAUGAAGGCCUUAGGGUUGUAAAGCUCUUUUACCCGGGAUGAUAAUGACAGUACCGGGAGAAUAAGCCCCGGCUAACUCCGUGCCAGCCGCCGCAGUAACAC
rnacentral:rRNA from 1 species